rnacentral:rRNA from 1 species
UACGUAGGGUGCGAGCGUUAAUCGGAAUUACUGGGCGUAAAGCGUGCGCAGGCGGUUUUUGUAAGCCAGAUGUGAAAUCCCCCGGGCUUAACCUGGGAAUGGCAUUUGGGACUGCAAAGCUGGAGUGCGGCAGAGGGGACUGGAAUUCCUGGUGUAGCAGUGAAAUGCGUAGAGAUCAGGAGGAAUACCGAUGGCGAAGGCAGGUCCCUGGGUUGACACUGACGCUCAUGCACGAAAGCGUGGGGAGCAAACAGG